UCAUACGUGGUGUUGUGGUGACAUAGCCUCCUCCAGCACCACCUUGUGAAUUUCAGAAAUACGUCAAGAGGGCCAGUCCUGGGUUCGAAUCCCCGCGUCUGAA